UAGAGGAAGUAAAAGUCGUAACAAGGUUUCCGUAGGUGAACCUGCGGAAGGAUCAUUAAAAAGGAUGGAUGGGUUUUUAUUGAACUCAUCUAAUAUCUGAACUUGUGGUAAUAUUGAUAAAACAUUUGGGCUUUAAAAUGGUAUUUGAUUUCAUUGAAUACCGGCCCAAAAACUUUAUAAACCUCUUUUAUUAUUGACUGAAUAUCAAGUAAAUUAAUCCAUUUGGGUUAAAAAAAGUUUUAAAUAACUUUCAACAACGGAUCUCUUGGUUCUCGCAUCGAUGAAGAACGCAGCGAAAUGCGAUACGUAAUGUGAAUUGCAGAUUUUGUGAAUCAUCGAAUCUUUGAACGCAUAUUGCACUCUUUGGUAUUCCGAAGAGUAUGCUUGUUUCAGUAUCAUGAAAAUCUCACAAUUCUUAAUUUUUUUUUGAGAAUUAGUGGACUUGGGUUUGCGAUUCUAGUAAUUGCUAAUCUGAAAUGAAUUUCAUGAAGCUAACAUGCUUUUAAUCUUUGCUUAAUAGUUUUGCUUUGUCAAAUC
rnacentral:rRNA from 1 species